ACAAGAUGGCUGGCUUGAAGGGAAAACUAUCUAGGAUCAUCUUGUUCAAGAGUAAUUUACAGGUUGUCCUAUGU
rnacentral:miRNA from 1 species